GAUGAACGCUGGCGGUAUGCCUAACACAUGCAAGUCGAACUAGCUCUAGCGCAAGUUAGAGUGGGUGGCGGACGGGUGAGGAACACGUAAGAACCUACCUUUUGGAGGAGGAUAACUGCUGGAAACGGCAGCUAAUACUCCAUAUGCUGAGGAGCGAAAGGUCGAAAGACCGCCAAAAGAUGGGCUUGCGUCUGAUUAGCUAGUUGGUGAGGUAAAUGCUUACCAAGGCGACGAUCAGUAGCUGGUCUGA
rnacentral:rRNA from 1 species